rnacentral:rRNA from 1 species
CCUACGGGUGGCAGCAGUGGGGAAUAUUGCACAAUGGGGGAAACCCUGAUGCAGCGACGCCGCGUGAGUGAAGAAGUAUUUCGGUAUGUAAAGCUCUGUCAGCAGGGAAGAAAAUGACGGUACCUGACCAAUAAUCCCCGGCUAACUACGUGCCAGCAGCCGCGGUAAUACGUAGGUGGCAGGCGUUAUCCUGAUGUACUGGGUGUAAAGGGAGCGUAGUCGGCAGGGGGAGUCUGAAGUGAAAGGCGGGGGCUCAACCCCCGGACUGCUCUGGAAACUGGCAGGCUGGAGUACAGGAGAGGUAAGUGGAAUUCCUAGUGUAGCGGUGAAAUGCGUAGAUAUUAGGAGGAACACCAGUGGCGAAGGCGGCUUACUGGACUGUAACUGACGUUGAGGCUCGAAAGCGUGGGGAGCAAACAGGAUUAGAUACCCGGGUAGUC